AUACGCGAGGACCCUUACCCGGGCUCAAACGGGGAGUGACUCAGGCAGAGACGCCUGUUUCCCACGGGACACUCCCCGAGGUGCUGCAUGGUUGUCGUCAGCUCGUGCCGUGAGGUGUCGGCUUAAGUGCCAUAACGAGCGCAACCCCCGCGUGCAGUUGCUAACAGAUAACGCUGAGGACUCUGCACGGACUGCCGGCGCAAGCCGCGAGGAAGGCGGGGAUGACGUCAAAUCAGCACGGCCCUUACGUCCGGGGCGACACACGUGUUACAAUGGGUGGUACAGCGGGAAGCCAGGCGGCGACGCCGAGCGGAACCCGAAAUCCACUCUCAGUUCGGAUCGGAGUCUGCAACCCGACUCCGUGAAGCUGGAUUCGCUAGUAAUCGCGCAUCAGCCAUGGCGCGGUGAAUACGUUCCCGGGCCUUGUACACACCGCCCGUCAAGCCAUGGGAGCCGAGGGCGCUUGAAGUGCGUCGCCGCGAGGCGCGCCCUAGAGCGAAAUCGGUGACUGGGGCUAAGUCGUAACAAGGUAGCCGU
rnacentral:rRNA from 1 species